AUUGAACGCUGGCGGCAGGCCUAACACAUGCAAGUCGAACGAGUGGCGGACGGGUGAGUAAUGUCUGGGAAACUGCCUGAUGGAGGGGGAUAACUCCUGGAAACGGUAGCUAAUACCGCAUACCAUCAGAUGUGCCCAGAUGGGAUUAGCUUGUUGGUGGGGUAACGGCUCACCAAGGCGACGAUCCCUAGCUGGUCUGAGCGGAUGACCAGCAACACAGGAACUGAGACACGGUCCAGACUCCUACGGGAGGAGGCAGUGGGGAAUAUUGCACAAUGGGCGCAAGCCUGAUGCAGACAUGACGCGUGUAUGAAGAAGGCCGUCGGGUGGUAAAGGACUUUCAGCAGGGAGGCGUUACCCGAAGAUGAAGGACCGGCUAACUCGGUGCCAGCAGCCGCGGUAAUUC
rnacentral:rRNA from 1 species